rnacentral:rRNA from 1 species
GACGAACGCUGGCGGCGUGCUUAACACAUGCAAGUCGAACGGAAAGGCCCUGCUUUUGUGGGGUGCUCGAGUGGCGAACGGGUGAGUAACACGUGAGUAACCUGCCCUUGACUUUGGGAUAACUUCAGGAAACUGGGGCUAAUACCGGAUAGGAGCUCCUGCUGCAUGGUGGGGGUUGGAAAGUUUCGGCGGUUGGGGAUGGACUCGCGGCUUAUCAGCUUGUUGGUGGGGUAGUGGCUUACCAAGGAUUUGACGGGUAGCCGGCCCGAGAGGGUGACCGGCAACAUUAGGACUGGGAUACGGCCCAGACUCCUACGGGAGGCAACAGUGGGGAAUAUUGCACAAUGGGCGGAGGCCUGAUGCAGCAACGCCGCGUGCGGGAUGACGGCCUUCGGGUUGUAAACCGCUUUCGCCUGUGACGAAGCGUGAGUGACGGUAAUGGGUAAAGAAGCACCGGCUAACUACGUG